ACACUGUAUGCAAACAUGCAACAUCAUAACACACAGUACAAGGAGUCAGACUGGCAUAUGAGGAGCAAAGGAACCCAGGCAGUAGCAUCGUUUCACAAUGUUUCCAUCACCAUCAUCAGUGGAUGCCUUUGCUGUCCGUAGCCUGAGAUUUCAGAUUUGCAGCAAAAAAAAUUUGAUUUUCUCAUUUAUUGGAAUGCUAUGCAGGUAUUUGUACCUUGCAGCCAUCCAUUACAAUGUCACCAAGCCGUAACAAAAGCAGGAGAGGGAAAGUACAAGGCUAUGUUCCCAAAACACAAAUGACAUACCUUAUGUGGAGGAUGUGAUCAGGCUUGUGUUUGAUGAGGUAUUUGAAGACAAGCUGAAGGAAACCCCGAUUCCAAUGGACCUGGCAUCACAGUUUGAGAGACCUUCAAAAGAGGACGUGAUUGCAUGCCAUCUUCAGUGCAGGGGUCGUCGAAAGCCAAAAUUGUGACCGAUCUGAUCAGGAAGCUCCAAGCGUAUCUGGAGAACAACACACGACAGGAUGAUAACCUUAUAGUGUCGUCUUAAAUAGCACCAGCUGACAAAGCUUUGAUAUGCCAUUUAUCUGAAUAGAUAGCUGUAAGAAAUGAAUUGAACAAUUUUUGAAACAA